AGUGAACGCUGGCGGUAGGCCUAACACAUGCAAGUCGAACGGCAGCACAGUAAGAGCUUGCUCUUACGGGUGGCGAGUGGCGGACGGGUGAGGAAUACAUCGGAAUCUACUUUUUCGUGGGGGAUAACGUAGGGAAACUUACGCUAAUACCGCAUACGACCUACGGGUGAAAGCAGGGGAUCUUCGGACCUUGCGCGAUUGAAUGAGCCGAUGUCGGAUUAGCUAGUUGGCGGGGUAAAGGCCCACCAAGGCGACGAUCCGUAGCUGGUCUGAGAGGAUGAUCGGCCACACUGGAACUGGGACACGGUCCAGGCUCCUACGGGAGGCAGCAGUGGGGAAUAUUGGACAAUGGGCGCAAGUCUGAUCCAGCCAUACCGCGUGGGUGAAGAAGGCCUUCGGGUUGUAAAGCCCUUUUGUUGGGAAAGAAAAGCAGCAGGUUAAUACCCCGCUGUUCUGACGGUACCCAAAGAAUAAGCACCGGCUAACUUCGUG
rnacentral:rRNA from 1 species